rfam:Dipodomys ordii contig_68424, whole genome shotgun sequence.
GGGAAGAUGGCUCAGUGGUAGAGUGCUUGCCUUGCAUGCAUGAGGCCCUGGGUUCAAUUCCUCAGUACCA